AUAAGCGUUGGGAAUAAAAAAUUAGUAAUGAUAAUUAGUAAGUUGCCGUUAAAAUAAUUAAUAUAACCUUAACUAAAUUUACUUAAUUAAACAUAAUAAUUUUUCACAUUUGAUGAUUUGGUUUUUUUUACUUGAGAAGAUGAACAUUAGCAUAGUAGACACUGAUUAUUUGAAAAUAUGGAUCACAUUGGCUUUUUAUUAAUAUAUUUUUUUCGAUACCUUCCAUCUUAUAGCUCAAUAUGUAUAAAAAUAGUAAAUUUAUUUUCUUUUUUUUCGAAUAUUAUAAUACAAGUGUAUAUGUAAGGAUAGCAUACAAAUUAGAGAAGUAUUUCCGGUUACUAAACAUGCAAUAUAAAUUUAUUUUUAAUGAAUUUGCUUAUUUUUUGGUGCUUUUUCGAUUCGACAGCAGGUGGGGGUAUACACAUUCAUACAUACAUACACAAGUAAUAUUGGUGGAAUUGAUUGCUUAUCUCUUAAUACGAUGUGAAGUACACUCUGUAUGAUUUGCAAAAUGUUAAUAUACUGUUAUUAGUAGAAUGAGUAAACUUCAGAUACUGUUAAGGUAGUUUUUUCAUGGUUCACAUUGCAACAACAAAUAAUAGAAUUAAUUGUUACCAAAAUAUGGUCAUUUUGAAAAUGGAAGGUUAUGAAUUAAUGACUCCGGUUUAUAAAAAAAAUAAUUUUAGUGGAAAAAAAUUUUGAACUGUUGCGGAAUAAAUUGGCUCUACACCAUCAGGAGGCAUUGGCUUGCACCGUUAUGUUUUCUUAGUCUUCUAACAGUCGGGCAAUUAAUAUCAAGAACGUCUCGUGAAGGUCGUUUUAGUGUGAAGACAAAAGAUUACAUUGCGAAAUACAGUUUGGGUGACCCGAUUGCUGAAAAUUUUUAUGAGGCGCAUAAACAAAUAAUUAAAAAUAUAGAAAUAUAUUCACUUUAUUACAUGUUAUAUAUGAUAUAAAAUACUAAUAAUAAACAAACAAUAAAAAAUAUAUUGAAAUAAUAUGUUUCCCUUUUCACUUAAAAACUAAAUAAUAUUUAAAAUAUCAUUAUUUGCUGAAGAUCCUUUAUCACAAUUAAAUUCGUUGAAUGUGGUUACAAUAAAUCAACGGGGAUUCAUAUUUAAAAUUAUAGGAUGUUCGAAUAACUUGUAUAAGGUGUUUGACUACAGUUAGGACUUUUGUGACAAAAAGUUGGCUACCAAUUUAUUGAAUUCGUCUGCAUAACGUAGUUGAAUAUUAUGUUUGCCCUCAGGGAAC